GUCCUUGAAAUGGGGUGCUUGCCAAUAUGGGCAGGCUGAGAUGAUACCCAGGAGUUUUAACUCUGAACCUGAUCCGGAUAAUGCCGGCGUAGGGAUUUUAGUUCGAUGUUGC
rfam:Arenibacter sp. C-21 DNA, contig: C21_contig0010.